rnacentral:rRNA from 1 species
GACGAACGCUGGCGGCGUGCUUAACACAUGCCAGUCGAACGGAAAGGCCCUGCUUUUGUGGGGUGCUCGAGUGGCGAACGGGUGAGUAACACGUGAGUAACCUGCCCUUGACUUUGGGAUAACUUCAGGAAACUGGGGCUAAUACCGGAUAGGAGCUCCUGCUGCAUGGUGGGGGUUGGAAAGUUUCGGCGGUUGGGGAUGGACUCGCGGCUUAUCAGCUUGUUGGUGGGGUAGUGGCUUACCAAGGCUUUGACGGGUAGCCGGCCUGAGAGGGUGACCGGCCAAAUUGGGACUGAGAUAAGGCCCAGACUCCUACGGGAGGCAGCAGUGGGGAAUAUUGCACAAUGGGCGGAAGCCUGAUGCAGCAACGCCGCGUGCGGGAUGACGGCCUUCGGGUUGUAAACCGCUUUCGCCUGUGACGAAGCGUGAGUGACGGUAAUGGGUAAAGAAGCACCGGCUAACUACGUG